rnacentral:lncRNA from 1 species
GUGAACAGAUUCCUUGAACUUCUCUUCAUCUAAGAACUGGAGGAUUAAGAAAACUAACUCUCUGCUCAGAGACGACAUUUCAUUAACCUCUCCAAGGUUCGGAUCUGGUGUGUUUCGUCAGAGACGGGUUUUGAUUAAGUCGUCGUCUGGAAAUGGUUUUCUAGGGUUUUUUGUUCUCCUCCAUCUACAAACGAAAAAGGCUGACCCUCAGAGACAGAGAUAGAAGGUUGAUAAGUUAUCUCACUUAUCAGUGAUAAGCGCUCUUGGUUUUAUAUAAGCUGAUAACCUCGUUGAUCUGCGCUGUUUGGUCUGAUCCUUUUGCUUGGAUUUUAUCUGAUGCGCUUACGCCCACGAAAAAGCGGAAGUGUGGAUCCAAGAACUCUAUGAGGAAGGAUUUGGGUUAGCCAUCCAGCCAGCUAGAGCAUUGGGAUUAGGAGCCGGAGCAGGAGUAGGUUGAAAGGGCUGUGCACAUACAUCACAGUUUCAUUAACUCUCAAAAUCUAAAACAUUGAAGUAAUAAUAAUAGAAAAAGAGAAGUAAGAAAGUAAGAGAUCCUAACUCCACCAUGUACUCCAAGAGGAACAAAGUUAGAAGGUCUAGCAACAGCCGCAACAGGAAGAUUCACAGGAGUGAGUGCACGAGCACCACCGUUUGCUGCAUUGCAAGAGUGAUCCAAGAACAAUGUCUUGAUGUCAGGAUUAGGCCUCGGGUUUUUACAUAGCUGGUGCUGCCAAUUCAAGCUGCAACACCAAAAUAAAAACAUUAAACACUUAAACUCAUCUCUCUUUCAAUAAAGAAAGCAUCUUAAUUCACCUUUGAUUAAUCAAAGUUCUCAGGCGAGAAGCCUUGAAGCUAGGGAAGGCUAGCUUCUCUCUAAACAGAGGAUUCGCCUCGAUGAGCUUCUUCAACUCAGUGUACAUUAUAUUCCUCGCUGACUUUGUAUCACCAUACUUAGACAAUUGCUCGUUCUCCCUGUGGACAUAUAACAAAACACUAAAGGGUCUGCCUUACAAAUUAUUUAAAUGCAAAUUAACUUACCUGAAAUUCUCAAGAGUGAGAAGCUGAGUAAUCUCUUUGUAAAGCUCCUCGUUAAAGGUAGCAAAGACUUUCAAGUCUUUAGCUAAUAUCUCAACAGCUUUUGCUCUGUCAUUACUGAAAAACAAAACGGUAACUAUCAUUAAUUCAACAACACACCAAAACAGCAAACGACUAAAAAAGAGUAAGUAAACAAUUUACCGAUCUAGAGCUUCGAGAUACUUUUGCUUCCUGAUCUCGAAGAAAAUCUUCAUAGAGUAACGAUUAUCAUCAACUUUGGUAAACCCUGAGAGAUACUUCUCCACUUCAUCCCACUCACCAGCUAAAGCUUUCUCUUCAAAGUACUUUAUAUUAAAGUAGAACCCAGAUUCCUGCUCUAGCCUUUUAACACACAAACACAAAUCAAAGCCAAAUUUACAAAACUCAUCCAACACAAAACCUUAACAGACAAAGAACAAGAAGACUUACUUGUGAACAGAUUCCUUGAACUUCUCUUCAUCUAAGAACUGAAGGAUCAAGAAAACUAACUCUCUGCUCAGAGACGACAUUUCAUUAACCUCUCCAAGGUUCGGAUCUGGUGUGUUUCGUCAGAGACGGGUUUUGAUUAAGUCGUCGUUUGGAAAAUGGUUUUCUAGGGUUUUUUGUUCUCCUCCAUCUACAAACGAAAAAGGCUGACCCUCAGAGACAGGAUAGAAGGUUGAUAAGUUGUCACCCUUAUUUGUCACGCUUAUCAGUGAUAAGCGCUCUUGGUUUUAUAUAAGCUGAUAACCUCGUUGAUCUGCGCUGUUUGGUCUGAUCCUUUUGCUUGGAUUUUAUCUGAUGCGCUUACGCCCACGAAAAAGCGGAAGUGUGGAUCCAAGAACUCGCUGUCGGUAGUUUAUUAUAACACGUGGCGGAUUAUUGUGCGGAUCUGUUAAAUGAAAACGGUGAGAUGCGAAGUAGAGGAUAAUUACUCGUAAGUGGACGCGGAUCCGAGAGAUGGAAUUGAAGUGGAUUGAGCAGAGUUCAGUUGCGUCCGCCACAUGUUACGUUGUCAGGGGGGGAUGACGUGGUCUCGGUAUCUCCGUUCAUCUCGUAGCGCGAUUUUAUCGUGAGAAAUAUGAGAGAUCGUCUCGCUAUUACUACUUGAAAGUUACAGGGCUGCUACCAAGUCGAGCUAAUACUUUGUCGACUGGUUAUUAAAAUAUUAGUUGUACGUGAGCUGAUUUAUAAUGAAAACAGUCUUUUUUUUUGCGUGUAAAUGUUAAGAUAAAAAGAGCAAUUUACUGGAUAUUCAAGCAUAAAAAUGAAGAAUAUACUCAUUCUACGGUAUUAUAUUUUCGAUGUGAUAAGUUACGCCAAAAAUAAUUUUUUUUGGAGCGCGUGCGCAUGGAGAAAAAAUACAAAGUGAAAAAAAAAAUAGACAGUAGACUAUAUUAUAUUCAAUGUAGUAUGGUUACAUUAUCGAACAUACAAAUGACCUCUAAUUACAAUAUGUUUAUACUUCUAUAUGUCACUGCAUAAGUUCUAAGUGGUGUACUGUAUUUGUUGUGAGAAAGAAAAGAUGAUUCAAUGUGGAAACAGAUGAAUAAACUACUUUAAGAAACAUGGAAAUAAACUGUUGUAAAGUGUAUUUGUAAGCUAUAUUAUAUUACAAACGUUAUAGUAUUGUAGUUGUUAUGAGCCAUGUAAAUCAUAAUGUGUAAGAGAACAUACUAUUUGCGGAGGUGUUUGUUGCACUAUCGCCGGAGUUGCCCACUUUUCAAUUAUGAAACUUAAUUAUACUAUAUUUGAUACUAUAACACAUUGUAUAUUUAAAUGGUAUAGUCUUUGUUUUACUGGUUCAAGGUGUUUAACUUUUUGACCAUUGCCAAUUUUGGUAAUAUAUUAUAUGGUAUGUAAUCGCUUAUAAUUGCUUAGUUUUAAUCCAUAUUCAAAACCGAGGCUGAACAGUCGAUUAUGCAGCCGCAAAAACGCUCCUCGGAGUCCAACUAUGACAUUUUGACCAACUCGGUAAUUAAAAUCGAUCAAUGGUCAAUAAACCAUUUAAUGCCAACUGAUUGCCAUCUAAUCGGAUUAAUAACCGAUUUAUUGCUAAAUAAAUUUGACUAAAGCCCAACUUAAAUACGGACCCGACUAUAUUAUAGCCCAUUUGCGUUUUCUUAAGAAAACAACAUGUCUUAUUUAUAAGGAGUGUAUUCUUGACAAACUUCAACAUGCUCAAUGUAGGAUGUUUAAAUUUGUCUCUCAUUAAAAUUUUAAAAUAAUCAAUCAAAACUAUCGCUUUAGAGAAUUGAAGCCAAUACUCAAAGUCAACCAUGCAUCUACCACUAGGCUACAUUAUAAUAUCACUGCCCUUCCUCCAAACAAACUAAUGUACAUAUAUAUUUGAAAAUAAAGAAAAUGUUAAAAAUAAAUCCAUGAUUAAUCUCUGAUCUUCAUAGAGUAACGAUUAUCAUCAACUUUGGUAAACCCUGAGAGAUACUUCUCCACUUCAUCCCACUCACCAGCUAAAGCUUUCUCUUCAAAGUACUUUAUAUUAAAGUAGAACCCAGAUUCCUGCUCUAGCCUUUUAACACACAAACACAAAUCAAAGCCAAAUUUACAAAACUCAUCCAACACAAAACCUUAACAGACAAAGAACAAGAAGACUUACUUGUGAACAGAUUCCUUGAACUUCUCUUCAUCUAAGAACUGAAGGAUCAAGAAAACUAACUCUCUGCUCAGAGACGACAUUUCAUUAACCUCUCCAAGGUUCGGAUCUGGUGUGUUUCGUCAGAGACGGGUUUUGAUUAAGUCGUCGUUUGGAAAAUGGUUUUCUAGGGUUUUUUGUUCUCCUCCAUCUACAAACGAAAAAGGCUGACCCUCAGAGACAGGAUAGAAGGUUGAUAAGUUGUCACCCUUAUUUGUCACGCUUAUCAGUGAUAAGCGCUCUUGGUUUUAUAUAAGCUGAUAACCUCGUUGAUCUGCGCUGUUUGGUCUGAUCCUUUUGCUUGGAUUUUAUCUGAUGCGCUUACGCCCACGAAAAAGCGGAAGUGUGGAUCCAAGAACUCUUUGUCGGUAGCUUGUUAUAACACGUGGCGGGUUAUAGUGCGGAUCUGUUAAAUGAAAAAGGUAGGAUGCGAAGUAGAGGAUAAUUACUCGUAAGUGGACGCGGAUCCGAGAGAUGGAAUUGAAGUGGAUUGAGCAGAGUUCAGUUGCGUCCGCCACAUGUUACGUUGUCAGGGGGGGAUGACGUGGUCUCGGUAUCUCCGUUCAUCUCGUAGCGCGAUUUUAUCGUGAGAAAUAUGAGAGAUCGUCUCGCUAUUACUACUUGAAAGUUACAGGGCUGCUACCAAGUCGAGCUAAUACUUUGUCGACUGGUUAUUAAAAUAUUAGUUGUACGUGAGCUGAUUUAUAAUGAAAACAGUCUUUUUUUUUGCGUGUAAAUGUUAAGAUAAAAAGAGCAAUUUACUGGAUAUUCAAGCAUAAAAAUGAAGAAUAUACUCAUUCUACGGUAUUAUAUUUUCGAUGUGAUAAGUUACGCCAAAAAUAAUUUUUUUUGGAGCGCGUGCGCAUGGAGAAAAAAUACAAAGUGAAAAAAAAAAUAGACAGUAGACUAUAUUAUAUUCAAUGUAGUAUGGUUACAUUAUCGAACAUACAAAUGACCUCUAAUUACAAUAUGUUUAUACUUCUAUAUGUCACUGCAUAAGUUCUAAGUGGUGUACUGUAUUUGUUGUGAGAAAGAAAAGAUGAUUCAAUGUGGAAACAGAUGAAUAAACUACUUUAAGAAACAUGGAAAUAAACUGUUGUAAAGUGUAUUUGUAAGCUAUAUUAUAUUACAAACGUUAUAGUAUUGUAGUUGUUAUGAGCCAUGUAAAUCAUAAUGUGUAAGAGAACAUACUAUUUGCGGAGGUGUUUGUUGCACUAUCGCCGGAGUUGCCCACUUUUCAAUUAUGAAACUUAAUUAUACUAUAUUUGAUACUAUAACACAUUGUAUAUUUAAAUGGUAUAGUCUUUGUUUUACUGGUUCAAGGUGUUUAACUUUUUGACCAUUGCCAAUUUUGGUAAUAUAUUAUAUGGUAUGUAAUCGCUUAUAAUUGCUUAGUUUUAAUCCAUAUUCAAAACCGAGGCUGAACAGUCGAUUAUGCAGCCGCAAAAACGCUCCUCGGAGUCCAACUAUGACAUUUUGACCAACUCGGUAAUUAAAAUCGAUCAAUGGUCAAUAAACCAUUUAAUGCCAACUGAUUGCCAUCUAAUCGGAUUAAUAACCGAUUUAUUGCUAAAUAAAUUUGACUAAAGCCCAACUUAAAUACGGACCCGACUAUAUUAUAGCCCAUUUGCGUUUUCUUAAGAAAACAACAUGUCUUAUUUAUAAGGAGUGUAUUCUUGACAAACUUCAACAUGCUCAAUGUAGGAUGUUUAAAUUUGUCUCUCAUUAAAAUUUUAAAAUAAUCAAUCAAAACUAUCGCUUUAGAGAAUUGAAGCCAAUACUCAAAGUCAACCAUGCAUCUACCACUAGGCUACAUUAUAAUAUCACUGCCCUUCCUCCAAACAAACUAAUGUACAUAUAUAUUUGAAAAUAAAGAAAAUGUUAAAAAUAAAUCCAUGAUUAAUCUCUGAUCUUCAUAGAGUAACGAUUAUCAUCAACUUUGGUAAACCCUGAGAGAUACUUCUCCACUUCAUCCCACUCACCAGCUAAAGCUUUCUCUUCAAAGUACUUUAUAUUAAAGUAGAACCCAGAUUCCUGCUCUAGCCUUUUAACACACAAACACAAAUCAAAGCCAAAUUUACAAAACUCAUCCAACACAAAACCUUAACAGACAAAGAACAAGAAGACUUACUUGUGAACAGAUUCCUUGAACUUCUCUUCAUCUAAGAACUGAAGGAUCAAGAAAACUAACUCUCUGCUCAGAGACGACAUUUCAUUAACCUCUCCAAGGUUCGGAUCUGGUGUGUUUCGUCAGAGACGGGUUUUGAUUAAGUCGUCGUUUGGAAAAUGGUUUUCUAGGGUUUUUUGUUCUCCUCCAUCUACAAACGAAAAAGGC